rnacentral:rRNA from 1 species
UACGUAGGGUGCAAGCGUUAUCCGGAAUUAUUGGGCGUAAAGAGCUCGUAGGCGGUUUGUCGCGUCUGCUGUGAAAACCCGAGGCUCAACCUCGGGCCUGCAGUGGGUACGGGCAGACUAGAGUGCGGUAGGGGAGACUGGAAUUCCUGGUGUAGCGGUGAAAUGCGCAGAUAUCAGGAGGAACACCGGUGGCGAAGGCGGGUCUCUGGGCCGAUACUGACGCU